ACCUACGGGGGGCAGCAGUAGGGAAUAUUGCAUAAUGGGCGAAAGCCUGAUGCAGCAACGCCGCGUGCAUGAUGAAGGCCUUCGGGUUGUAAAAUGCUUUUAGCAGGGAUGAGGAAGGACAGUACCUGCUGAAUAAGCCUCGGCUAACUACGUGCCAGCAGCCGCGGUAAAACGUAGGAGGCGAGCGUUAUCCGGAUUUACUGGGCGUAAAGCGCGUGCAGGUGGUUCGGUAAGUUGGAUGUGAAAGCUCCUGGCUUAACUGGGAGAGGUCGUUCAAUACUGCUGGACUUGAGUGUGGGAGAGGGAGGUGGAAUUCCGGGUGUAGUGGUGAAAUGCGUAGAUAUCCGGAGGAACACCAGUGGCGAAAGCGGCCUCCUGGCCCAUUACUGACACUCAGACGCGAAAGCUAGGGGAGCGAACGGGAUUAGAUACCCCGGU
rnacentral:rRNA from 1 species